UACGUAGGAUCCAAGCGUUGUCCGGAUUUACUGGGUGUAAAGGGCGUGUAGGUGGGCUCUUAAGUCGGUGGUGAAAACUUGCAGCUCAACUGUAAACUUGCCGUCGAAACUGGGAGUCUUGAGUGCGGAAGAGGGAAGCGGAAUUCAUGGUGUAGCGGUGAAAUGUGUAGAUAUCAUGAAGAACACCGGUAGCGAAGGCGGCUUCCUGGUCCGUUACUGACUAUGAGGCGCGAAAGCGUGGGGAGCAAACAGG
rnacentral:rRNA from 1 species